rnacentral:lncRNA from 10 species
AUUUACUUAAUUUUGUUCCCCAGUUCCAUUGUUUACAUUUCCAUGUUUUUCUCACAAUUGUAAGCCUGCAGUGUAAAGCUUCUCAAAGGGGUUCUGUUAGCAUUGUCUGGGCAAUUCUUUUUUGUGUGGGGUUGUGCUGCACAUGACAAGACACUUAGCUCCUGGGUUUCAUCCACUAAAUGCCACCUAUGCAAUGUGACAAAGAACUUCCCUCAGUUAACAAUGACUUUCAAAAGAGAACGUCCAGGACAUUAUUUAUUCAUCCUUUUCUUUUCCACAGCAGUUAGCACAGUGUCUUUGAGAGAAUGAACAUGGAGUAGCAAAAGGAACUUAAAGUUGGAAAGAAUGGGUGCCAACUCCUAACUCUAUCAUUUAUUAACUAUGUGACUUUUGGUAAGUUUUUUAUCUCUCCCUUAGCUUCUGUGUCUUCAUCUAUAAAUUGAAGUCAAUCGAAUCUACUCCACAGGGCAAUUUUAAGAAUUAAAUAAAUAAUAGUAGAAGUUAAAGGAGAAGAAAAUGAGAUCUUUCCAAGCCUUCCUGAAAGAAAAUGAGAAAUACGUCAUUGGCUCUGAAAGCACAAAUGUGAUGAAGCUGAGACCAGGCCUUGCAAGGAAGGCUGAUUGACAGGAUGUGAAGCUGAUGCAGGGCCAUUUGUUGGGGUGAUACUGCAGAGCACCAGCUGGGUCUGUAGAUAGAGGCAAGUAAUGACAGUGCUGCCUCUCACCUCUCCCAUCAUCUUGUGCCUUCCUGUGUGCCUAAAGUCAAGAGGACUUUACUUGUGUUUGGGGCCUUCUCUGAUUAACACAAGGCAGUGGCAGGGAUGGGGGCAGCAGAAAAAGAAAGAAGCAUCUUGUGACCCAGGAAGACAGUGGCCUUGGCAUAUUUGUAUAUAAUUUAGAAAAUCAGGAUCUAUGUACCUUGCUUGACUCAUAGUAGGUAUUCAAUAAACUGUUGUACUUUCUUAGAAAAAAAAAGCCAUGAAUAAAUGCAUCUACUCGAUAUCACCCAUCUGACAGGAAAUAA